UGCAUAUUUACUCAUCAUCGUGAGUGAGUGCAUGACUGAUGAUUUUUUGUGUGUCCGCCGUGAUUCGAUAUCCAGAAUAUGUGGCCUUUUAAAUCUCUGUUUUGGAUGGAAGGAGAUUCAGGAUUCUGAUUGUUUUUUUUGUUUUUUUUACUGAAUUAUAAAUAAUGACGCAAGAAUUUGUUUGACACUUUUGCAAUAAGGAACAUGAUGCAAGCACAUUUCAUCAAUUUCAUUGUGAGAGCAAAAAAAAAAUUGCUGGGUAAAUCCCGAUGAAAUCAACGUGAAAUGCUUACGACAGCUAAGGUAUAUAUGGAAUAAGAAUCAGGAGAGUAGCUCAACUUUUCUCCUUAAAUAUGGUUUGUAAUGUAAAUUGAUAAAUAUGCCCUGUAGUGAACCACUUAGACAAUCCGAGUUAGACCUCAAUGAUUGUAUUACUUUUCAUUUUGUUUAGCUAUCCCUCUAACGCACCUGAACCAACAUAACAUCCCACAUUCCCACAUAGUAUAUAAUACCAUAUUUAAAAAGAAUUACUUCAGAAAUCACAAAGAAUUUAUCAUAGAAACCAUCAAUAACACAAAAGGUAACGUAUACAGCAACAGUCAAAUGAAAGUCAUCCUACUAAAACAAGCAUUAACCAAAUAAAAUGCCUCCAAAUCCAGGAGCUGCUGCGCCGUAUUGUGGGUUCUGAAUAUUCACAGGCGGUCUUUCGAAAUUCUCCGAAUACUCGAACGGUGGCACUGGACCAGAUGGACCAGCUGGGUAAUAAUAACUGCGUCUGGACGACAUCCAAGAAAUAUCUUUUCGGGCUGAAUUUCUUCCAGGCUGAUACGAACUUGUUCGUACAAAGCCGAUAUUUUUGUCGUGAAAAUAUUGACGAUUCAUUAUAGGAAUCCUGAAAAGAAAGGUCCCUUCAGCGAUGGAAGUCAUCACCAACGCGACGAGGCAGAUAACUAACUACGUUCCGUUUUCCGAUUAAAUUUAAAAGUAUGAGAAUGAAAUGGGGAGCUUAAUGUAAAAUGAACUAUAGCCUAAGAUAUACGUUACCAAAGAGCGGGACAUUCUCGUUCGGCUGUUACUGGAACUCUUGGCAUUUCCAGGAUAAACACCUCGGUUUUAUACAGUUGGUGUCUUUUCCGCCAAAGCUUUGUUCUUACAGCGAUUGGGUUGUUUAUUUGUGAUGUAAAAAGUCUCAAAAACAAUCGUCUGGGAGGUUUAUAGUAAUAAAGCUUAUCUCUUAAAGCGCAUCUUGCAUACCUAAUUUCUUUGAUACAGCACCAGCCUUGACAUUGGCCCCUUGACUUUGGUUGCGGGCAAAAUAAGGAAUACGCGGUACCACUCUACUCUCCACUCGGAGACUAAUGACCUCUUGACCACGAAAGAUUUUCCACACCAAAGUAAAAUUUGACUGUGGCUGGUAUUAUGAAAUUUUAUAUCCAUUUACUGGAAGGAAUUACCUGGAAUAAAAUUCUACCUCGUCAAACAAAAAAAUAACGACAAACAAUCGAUGGUGAAGUACAGAAGUAUAGAAGCAAAAUGGUUUAUUAUAGAAAUUAAUAUCAAACAUAACAACUGCGUCACCAAUAUUUGAUUUCGGAACAGAAAAUAUUUGAUGUGUUUUAACCAUAUCGUCGACUCCAUCAGCCGAAGAUGAUUCCACCAAAACCUAGAGGGCCAGUCCUGCUCUGGUGUGACUGCUGCCUUCGUGCCGCCAUAUUGUUAAGAAUUCGGUAACUGGGCCACGGAUAGAAUUUCAAAGGAACGGAAAGAACGGUGUAGGCAAGAACCAGAAAGACGAGGACAAACUAUCCACACCGAUGACAUCGAAAUCCAUAAGUGGUAUACGUAUAAUGUUAAACGAAUAAGCAAUUAUCAACAGUUUCAGAAAUAACAAAUGUCAAAACAUUACCAGAAGACGAUUCAUUUUCAAACGUGGCUAUAGUGGGACCUCUCGAACGAAGAGAAAUUGAUCCGGAGACUUGGAUUUGUUGAGUGUUGAUACUGAGCUUUUGUAUGUCCUCUAUUUAUAUUGGCGCAGAUUUCUCCAUAAUACUACAAAUGUUACAAUA